rfam:Picea glauca, whole genome shotgun sequence.
GCGAGCCGUAUGUGGUGAGAGUCGCACGUACGGUUACAGGGGGGUUUAACAUCUAUACAUAUAGUGUGGUGGCAUACCCCAU